GACGGAGGCGGCAAGCGUUAUCCGGAAUUAUUGGGCGUAAAGGGUACGUAGGCGGCUGGUCAAGUCUGGGGUCAAAGGCCGCAGCUCAACUGUGGGAAGGCCCUGGAAACUGACCGGCUAGGGUGAGGUAGGUGUUGCGGGAAGUCCCGGUGUAGCGGUGAAAUGCGUAGAGAUCGGGAAGAACACCUGAGGCGGAAGCGCGCAACUGGGCCUCAACUGACACUGAGGUACGAAAGCUAGGGGAGCGAAUGGG
rnacentral:rRNA from 1 species